CACUAGUGAUUAGAGUUUGAUCCUGGCUCAGGAUGAACGCUAGCGGCGUGCUUAAUGCAUGCAAGUCGAACGGCUCUGAUGCCCGCAAGGGUGUCAGGAUAGUGGCAAACGGGCGAGUAACACGUAAGUGACCUACCUUCUAGUGGGGGAUAACUUGCCGAAAGGCAGGCUAAUACCGCAUGUGGUGAGGGGUAUAGACGCCCAUCACUAAAGGUCUGAGCAAUCAGGCCGCUGGAAGAGGGGCUUGCGUCCGAUUAGCUAGUUGGUGAGGUAACGGCCCACCAAGGCGAUGAUCGGUAGCUGGUCUGAGAGGACGACCAGCCGCACUGGGACUGAGACACGGCCCAGACUCCUACGGGAGGCAGCAGCAAGGAAUCUUGCGCAAUGGGCGAAAGCCUGACGCAGCGACGCCGCGUGGGGGAUGAAGGCCUUSGGGUUGUAAA
rnacentral:rRNA from 1 species